AACAUAGAAUUGAUCCUUGAUGUGGCCAAGGAAACCCUAUCUUCUCUUACAGAUGGCAAUGAAGCUACAAAUUGGGUCCAAAAAUAUGUGACACCAUAUGCUCAAGAUGUAAAAAUCAAGUACAUCACUGUUGGAAAUGAAAUUAAACCUAAUGACAAUGAAGCCCAAUACAUUGCCACUGCCAUGCAAAACAUUCAAAAUGCAAUUUCAUCAGCAAAUUUACAAGGCCAAAUCAAGGUCUCAACAGCAAUUGACAUGACUUUGAUUGGUACUUCAUAUCCACCCAAUGAUGGUGCUUUCACUGACCAAGCAAAGCAAUAUUUACAGCCAAUAAUAGACUUCCUAAAGAACAAUGGAGCACCACUUCUUGCCAAUGUGUAUCCGUACUUCGCUUAUAUCGGUAAUAAGCAAAGCAUUUCUCUUGACUAUGCUCUUUUUAAACAACAAGGAAACAAUGAUGUUGGGUACCAAAACCUCUUUGAUGCCCAAUUAGACUCAGUAUAUGCUGCUCUUGAGAAAGUUGGGGGUACCGAUGUGAAGAUAGUUGUGUCCGAGAGUGGAUGGCCAUCUGAUGGUGGAGAUAGUGCCUCAACUGAUAAUGCUUCCACAUAUUAUCAAAAUUUGAUCAAUCACGUCAAGAAUGGGACUCCUAAGAGACCCGGAGCAAUUGAGACAUACUUGUUUGCCAUGUUUGAUGAAAAUCAGAAGACUGGUGCAGCAACUGAACAACAUUUUGGUCUCUUUAAUCCUGACAAAUCAUCUAAAUAUCAAACAAGUUUCAAUUGAAUAAAUUGAUAAUUUAAAAAAGAUAUGCAGCUAAAUAUAGUUUACUAUGAAUAAUUGUGCCAUGUGUGCACAUGUUAUUUCCAUCUUUCUUUUUUUUUUUGACAGAAUUUCCAUCUUUCUAUGUAUGUCAUGAAUUAAAUAAAUGAAACAUCAUAUCAUAUAUUGUUACUUAUGUAAUUCCACCAUUAUAUUUUAGUUUGUGUUUAAUGUCAUAUUGGAAGACAUCAAACUUAUAUAGUAUGCUAACAAUAAAGGCACAACUCUAGCAAAAUUUGCAACAUAAGUAGGCUUGAUGGACACAAAUGAAGCAGAAUAUUAACCUUUGGUGUUUGGUCUUGAGUUAUCAAUUGAUUGUGUAUAGUUAAAAUAGGGAAAAGUAAUAGUAGAACACGCUCUAAAUUAAGUGGCCCUCGCAUGGGUGAAUGGUGAUUAUUUGUCCAUGGAGUUUGAGAUUCUUUGUGAAUAAAUUGAAAACCAAAUUGUUGGUGUUGAAAAAUGUUUCUUUUGUGCAUAGGAAUAUAGAAGUGAAAUUUCAUUAUAUAUUUGGCAAAAGAAUGAUCCUCUUUGGAAUUUAGGUGAGUGAAGUGGUGUUGUAAAAUUUGUGAUAUUUGGAAGGGUUGAUUGUGUACUAAUGAUCUCAAGGUCAAGGGAUGGCUCUUUAAGUAUAGCAUUGGAAUUGAAAUUUUGGGUGUCAUGAAGGUGGGGGAGUAGUGCAUUAGUGUUUUAAAGUUGUUAGAUUUAUUUUGGCUUCGUAGUUUUGUCUUUGUAGUGCACUAGGGCCUUCGAUUUAGUUCCUUGACUGCUACAGGUGUUGUUCAUAAUCUGAUAUGCAUUGAACUAUAUUAAUGAUUUGAUUUAGUAGUGUGUCUGUUAAUUUUAUGGAAAUUGCUCUUCUCUCGAUCAAAAUUGCUUGUUCCCACAUAAACAACCGAAAAUUCCCCAACGUGAGUGAACACUUGUUCGGUAAAAUCAGCGUAAGUUAACUGACAUUCGAUAACAACCAACGUGAUUUAAAUGUCGUUGAAAAAAAAUUACCCCAUGGGACUUAAGUCAUGCUACUUAAUUCUUGUCGAUGUACGUGCAGUAAUUGUGGAUGGUACUUACCAAGUUACCAUGAUGUGGAUUCAAGUGUGUUGGCUUUCAGUUGGCAGCAAGACGAGUUUUUCAAGAAGGAAUAAGAAAAGCCGGACCGAAAAUGCUUGAACCUAUAUAAAGAGUUGGGACCAAACCAUUACUAGAAUUUCUCGUUUUACCUGCAGAUUUACCCUCAAAAAAUUCCACAGGAGUUUCUGAGGAUUUUGCUGCGAUCUUGUUGAUCUGGACAACGUACUUCCGGAUCUAGAAACGGCAUGCAACUCCGCAGGUAAUGAAUCCAUUUGCUGGGGUUUUCCUGCGGAAGCUAUUUUCUUUUUUACCCAAUGAAUCCUUGGGAAAUUCCACAGAUAUUCCAGCGGAUUUACCUGCAGAUUUUCGUUUGACCUGCAGAUUUACCUACAGAUAUUCCUGCGGAUUUACAGCUGCAUUUCUUUAGAUUCUUUUCUUCUUUAAAUUUUAAAAUUGUAAGAUUAUGAAUUUCUUUAUUUUUAUUCUUUUGAUAUUGAAUAUGGAACCUAAAUCUUUAGAAAAAUCCGCAGGAAACAGUUUUGCCUUGGAUUUUCACCAUUAUCCGCAGGAAGAUCAAGAGUUUCUGGCAGUAAACAUCAGAUUCCCCAUUUCAAUCCAAGUUGAAAAAUAAACUACACACAAGCUCAUGCAUGUGCUAAAUUACCAAUUAUGAAAACAAAAUUAAUCCGAAAGAAAAGCAUGAAAGAACUGAAACCAUAUUGAAUGGGAUGAAGAACAAGAAGCUACCUCGAAUGAAGGGGUUGGAGACCAACACAAUAAACUUAAUGAACGAAGGUUGCCAAAGUCUGGGUGCAGGGAGACUGGAUCAAAAGAAAGAAUGGUCAUGCAUGAUCGCACAAAGAGAAGAGCAGCCAUAAGAGAGGCCUAUAUCGUCAGAGAUGGUGAGACAACAUGAAAUCUAUUUGGGGGCUAAAUUUCAGUCAAUGAGUCGAAGAAACUUGGGUAUAGGGUUCACUCGCGUUGAAGAAGUAAUUUUAGGUUAUUUGUAUUAUUGUUUUUCAAAAAUUUGGAAGCUGAUUUAUAUUUUAACGUUCUUUUAUAAAGUUUGAGUAAAAAGAUGAUUUUGGUUAAAGAUUAUAAACCAGUUCUCUUAAUAAAGUUUGGUAAUUGACUUUUGAAAAUUUAUGGUUCAGUUCAUGAACCAUUUAAUUGGUUUGGUCUCUUAUAGUUCAGUGUGGUUCAUUUUACUCAUAUAGUUCAUUGAAUUAGUAUAUUUCGCUCACCCGGACUUCAAUCUAUAUUUAUACCCCUCCUUUGCUUUUGGUAUUAUCUUUUGAUAACAGUUGCGAAGUUUGGUGUGAUAUGAUCAAUCAGUUCUAUGAUCAUUGUCUUCUGAUAGUAGGGUUCUCAAUAUGCUUCUACUUUACGCCUGGAAAGUUGAAUGAUGAAGGUGUAGUUUAGAAAAGGGGGUUGGCUCAUAGUAAUGGACUAUGGUGAUGGUUUCAUAUGGUAAUAAAGAUGAUGAGUUUACACGGUUCUUAAAAAUGAACAAGAGUUAUGGUGUGCUAGUUACGUUUAUGAGCUAAAUCUUAGUUGUUUGUUGAUUGUUUGUGGUUAGAGGAGAUAGAUGUAUGAAGUGAUGGUGGAGACCCCUUUCUUUGGUUAUGUCUUCUCCUUUCUUUAGUUCUCCCCUCUUUUUAUUCCCUUCUCUUGCUUUGGUUUUGAUUUUGUUGUUGAUAUUUAUACUUAAAAAAUUAGGUUUUUGUUUUUUAUUUUGAUUUUGUUGUUGAUAUUUAUACAAAAAAUAUAAGGUUAAGUUCUUUACUGAAUGAUGCCAAAUUAAAAUUGUACAUGUUACUUACAUGGAAAUGGGAAAAAGGAAAAGAAAUGAAGAAAGAUACUUUUUUUUUUUUUGUCAGGGUUUGAACCUCCGGACCUUGCAUAUAUUAUGCAUUAUUUCUAUCAAAGCUAACCUCACGAAGACAAAUUGAAGAAAGAUGUUUGAUGGCAUACUCAACAUGCUUACAGUCCAAUUUUUGUCUUUUAAGAGGAAAAUUUUAAAGACAAGGAUAAAGAAAUUUAUCUUUUGACCAAAAUGGAAGAGAUAGUUUCACGCCACCAUCGUUGUGAAGAAAAGGAUAAAGAAAUUUAACUUUUAAAAAGGAUGUUUCAUAUUGAGUCAUGUAAUUUAAUUUUCUGAAAUCAAGCAAUUAUUUGGCGUCUUUAAUGUAAUUCACUACAAAAUCAUGUAAUUUGACAAAGCAAACCACCUUAUGAAGAAUAAUUGAGAAGACAAUGGAUAAAUAUUUAAGAGGCCUCUAGAGACAUUAAAAAGUACAUAAAUUUUGUUUCUAGUCCCAAGACAAGUUUUAAAGAAGAAAAUACUCAAAAAGGCAAAGAAAAAGGCAAAAAUGUGUUAGGAGAAGGUGUUGUGCGCCCCAUGUGUGCAAAACAGUGCAUAAAAUGCACUCUUUCGGGCACCACGCACGAGGAGCAUUCUUCCACGCAUGGUCCCUUGCGCUCUCGGGAGUUUUCAGUUACGGGUAUGGGGAAAUGGGGUAGAUUUUCAACCCAAACUCACUCAGAAUUCAACAUGUAAAUACAGCUCCUCUCAUUCACAAUUAUUCAUUCAAAACGAAGCGGUUCAAGAGGAAGGUAAGUAUUAGGAGCAUCAAGGGAGAAGUUUCUCAUCAACCUUCUUCUCUCUAUAGUAUGUUAUGUUUCUUUUGUAAUUUAUAUUUAGUUACCAUGAGUAACUAAGUCCUAAUUGUGUAGGAUUCUAAUAUGAACCUUUGUUUGUUUAUUGGAUCUUUUUAAUUCAAGUAUUUUAUUCAGUUAACUUAGAUAUAAUCUUUUUAUGGAAAUGUCAUAAUGCUUUUCUGAAGAUAAUUUUACUUACUACUUCGUUACUUGAAAAUGAAAUAAUGCACUUGUCAAAUUUGAUCAUCAAUAUUGAGCCACUUAAUAUAUUAUAUUAAAAAUAAAUGAAUUUUAUUAAAAUCCUAUGACAUGGAAUUACUAGUGGAAUCUUUUCUGUAAGCAAAUUUUUUAACUUUUUUAACGAGUAAAUAGUCAAUUUCCCCUCUGAAAUUGUAAGUUUCAUCAAUUACCUUCCUGAAAUUAACAAAAUUUAAAUUACCUCCCUGAAAUUUCACGUUAGUCAAUUUACCCCCUCCGUCAAAUUUUUCUGUUAGUGAACAUGACGUUUUGCAAAUACCCCCCUGAAGUUUUGCACUUAUGUGCAAAAUGCCCCAAAACUUAAAAAUUUAUAUUAUUUUUUAAAAAAACAAACAAUUAAUAGUUAAAUAUUAAAACUAACUAUUAAUUUUGGAAUUUGGGAAAACUACAUGCAUAUAUACAUCAAAAUAGGCUCCAAAAUGAGAAAAAAAUAUGUAUUUUUUAAAGUGACAAUAAUGGGAUGAUUUGUAGAUUAAUAUUGGGGGUUGUGUAGUUUAAAUGGUUUGAGAAAAUUGUUGAAGGAGUUGGAGGAGUUAAAAGACUAAGAUGAUGAAGGAGAAAAUAUAAAUUUAAAUCUGAUUAUUAAUUUGUUUAUAAACCUCUAAAAAUAAUAAUUUGUCUAUUAGAAAUAACCAUUAUUGUCACUUUAAAAAUACACAUUUUUCCCUAUUUUGAUGUAUAUAUGUAUGUAGUUUUUCCAAACUCCAAAAUUAAUAGUUAGCUUUAAUAUUUAACUAUUAAUUGUUUGUUUUUAAGAAAAAAAUAAUAUAAAUUUUUAAGUUUGGGGGGCAUUUUGCACAUAAGUGCAAAACUUCAGGGGGUAUUUGCAAAACGUCAUGUUCACUAACAGAAAAAUUUGACGGAGGGGGUAAAUUGACUAACGUUGUGAAAUUUCAGGGGGUAACUGAAGUUUUGUUAAUUUCAGGGGGGUAAUUGAUGAAACUUACAAUUUCAAGGGGGAAAUUGACUAUUUACUCUUUUUUUAACAUUAAAAAGUUAAAAAAAUGUAUGAUGUGGAGACACCCUAUAUUUUAGGGUUAAUUAAGUUUUUGGUCCCUAUAAAUAUCUGCAGUUUUGUAUUUAGUCUUUAUAAAAAUAAAUCAUACUUUUUAGUCCCAACAAAAUUUUCUGUUAGUGUUUUUAGUCCCUGUUAAAUUAAAAUUUGUUUAAUUAUGCUUAAACUUCUAAAUUUUUGAAAGAUUUUUUACAUACAUGUUCAUAACAUCGUAAGACACUCUUUUAUAAAAAAAUUUAGUUUUUUAACAUGUAAUGAAUUAAAUAUGAAUUUUUCUAAAAGUCCAAUUUUCAAGAUUAUAUUAAUGAAAAUUUGGACCUAAUAAUAAAAUUUUAAGUUACUUUUCUGCGGGGGAAUUUUGUAUAAUAUUCUAAGUAAGUAUGUGAAAAAUUUGUUACAAAUUAAAAAGUUUAAGCACAAUUAAGCAUAUUUUAAUUUUACAACGACUAAAAGUAUGUGUUGGUCCCUAUUAAAUUGAAAUUUGUUUAAUUAUACUUAAACUUUUAUAUUUUUAAAUGAUUUUUAACAGAUAAGAACAUUAUAAUAAUUUCUUUUAUAAAAAACUAGAAUUUUUUAACAUGUAAUGAAUUAAAUAUAAUUUUUUUUAAACACCAAAAAUUCAAGAUAAAACUAACGAAAAUUUGGACCUAAAAAUAAAAUUUUGAGCUAAUUUAUUGUGGCGGAACCUUUUAUAAUGUUUUAAACAAGUAUGUAAAAAAUCAUUAAAAAAUUAAAAUUUUAAGCAUAAUUAAACAAUUUUUAAUUUAACAGAGACUAAAAACACUAACGGAAAAUUUUAUAAAGACUAAAAAGUAUAAUUUAUUUUAUAGGGAUUAAAAAUAAAACUGCAGAUAUUUAUAAGGAUAAAAAACUUAAUUAACCCUAUAUUUUAUAACAUUUCCUUAGCUAAGCUGACUAACAUAUGCAGCCGGCAAAUUUGUCUUGUAUGCAUUAUUAAUUAGGCCAUCAAUCAUUAAUAUAUGUGUUUUCGUUUUACCCAAAACAAGUGGUUGGAAUUCGAAAACAAUGCAUAGCCCUCAAUUUCCUUUGAGUGAUUGACGGGGCUAAAAGUCUUCCUUAUUAGAAGACCACCCUUUACUGUAGUCAAUACAAAGCAGUAGUAUUUGUUCUUUUAAUUAUGCAUAGUAUAACUAUGGACUAGAAGAAGGUAUAAGAGAUUCAGAGUUGCAUACUUGGUUUAUAUUUUAGUAUAAUUCAUCAAGCAAUACAUUCUUUAAGAGAAACUCUUCCAUCGAUCAUGUCUAUCAUUUUUCUGCUUGUUGGUAUACUUCUAUCCAUUGGACUACAAUUUACAGGUCAAUAAUAGUUCUCUCCCAAUAUUAAUAUUAUUGUAUACUUUUUGUAUUGCAUUUUAUUACUUUGAAUUACUUCUUUUGUUAUUCAUUAUUCAGUAAUAUGUUAAAUUAAAAGGCUACUAGAGUCUAUGGCAUCAAUGUCAACAGAGAGAGUUUAACUAAGGAUAAAAAUACCAGAAAAAACCCAAAAUCAUCACAAAUUCAAAAACCUCAAAUCCCAAAACCAAAACCAAAGAAAAUAGAAAUUGUUUUUGAAACCCACAAUGAUUUUAGUGUUCUUUUUUAUUGGGCUUGGAUGAAGAUCUGGAUUGGUUAGGAUAGAACCAAGGUUAGAUUGAAAUAAAUAAAUAAAUAAAUAGGUUUAAUUGCAGUUUUGGCCCUCUAAGUAUCACAAUCUUCUAAUUUUGAUCCCCUAUAAAAAAUAUUAACAAAUCAGCCCUCUUAAGUUUACAUCAUUUUGCACUUUUGAUUCUCCGAACCAAUUUUGACCAAGUUAAUGCAUAUGUGGCACCCACAUCAACAAUUUAGGUUCUUUUAAUAGUUUUACUAUAGUUUGUCUAGAUCUUCUCUUGUCCUUAUUAUUUUAAGGGUUAAUAGGUCUUUACCCCCUGUAAUAUAGGACACUUUUGGUUUUACCCGCUGUAAAUUUAUUUUUUUAGAUUCCGUCCUUGUAAAAUGAAGAUUCUUCAAGAUUGCCCCCUGAGCCCUGUGACUCAGCAGAAUCUAUGAUGUGGCAUCUUUUUUUAUUUAUCAUUUUUUUUUGGAUGCCAAGUGUAUUUACAUGUCAUUUAAAAUUAAAAAAAAAAUAAAAAAAUCAAUUUUUUUUAAAUAACGAAAAAUAAUUUAAAAAUCAGAAAAAAAAAAUAGAAUUUUUUUUCAAAAAUUUAAAAAAUUGAAUUUUUUUUUUAAAUAAAGUUCCAGAUUUUUUUUUAAAAUACUUCCUAAUUCCAUAUUCUUUUUAAAAAAUUUAAAAAUUCAGAUUUUAAAAAAAAAAUUAAGUUCCGGAUUUUUGUUAAAAUCAGAAAAAACAUGCAGAUUUUUUUAAUUUAAUUUUUAAAAUAAAAAAAAAUAUUUUAUAUUUCAAAAUCUUUAUUCCAGAAAUUUUAUAAAUUCUUUUUUGAAAUUAAAUAAUUAGAAAAAAAAUUAGAUAAUACUUUUUUUUUUCCAAAUUUUAUAAUUUUAAUUUAAUUCGGAUUAUUUUUUAAAUUUAGUAUAAUUUUUUUGGAAAAUUUGGAAAUAUAUUAAGUUCGAGAAUGGAAACGGUAUACCAUAUGGAUUUUCCUGUCAUUGAUGAGAAAUAUAUUAAGUUAGCAUUUAGAAAAAAUUUCAAAAAAUAUAUUCCUGAAUUUUUACGAAUUUAUUUUUUAUUUAAAAAAAUAAAAAUAAAAUCUUUUUUUUCUGAAAUUAGGAAGUAUUUUAAAAAAAAAAAACUGGAUUUUAUAAAAAAUUUCAAAAACAAAUCAGAAUUUUUUCUAAAUUUAAAAUUUUCAAAAAUAUCUGAAGUUAAGAUUUUAAAAAUUUAAAUAAAAUCAAAUUUUUUUUUCAGAUUAAAUAGUUGGAAUUUAAAAACAUUUAUAUCCAAAUUUUUAAAAUUAAAAUAUUUUCCAGAAUUUUUAUUCUUUGUACAAAAAAUUAAAAAAACUUUUUUAUUUCGAAAAAAAUCUGAAUGUUUUUUAAUUUCGAAAAAGAUAAGACAAUUUUCUAUUUCGGAAAAAAAUCUAAAUGUUUUUUAAUUUUUGGAAAAAAAAAUCUAAUUUUUUCUCAAUUUAAAAAAAUAGUUUGAAUUUUUUCAGAUUUUUUAAAAUUUUGGAAAUUAAUUUUUAGAUUUUUUAAAAUAUGAUUUUCGUUUUUUUUGAAAUUUUAUUUUUUACUUUAAUUUUUUUAAAUAAAAAUGACGUGUAAAUUAUUUUUUACACGUGGCAAGCAAAAAAAAUUAAAAAAUAAAAAGAAAAAGCCAUGUAGGUGCCACAUCAUAGAUUCUGCUGAGUCACAGGGCUCAGGGGGCAAUCUUGAAGAAUCUUUAUUUUACAAGGACGAAAUCUAAAAAAAAAAAUUUACAGGGGGCAAAACCAAAAGUUCCCUAUAUUACAGGGGGGUAAAGACCUAUUAACCCUUGUUUUAACUAUCAUUUAUCUGAUCUAUUUUUCUUUCUAUAGAAUCUACAAAUCUCCAUUUUACUUGCUCAGACCACAUAAGUCAAGUUUCUGUCACCUUUUCUACGAUAGGUACAACUUCUACUCUUUCUUUAAUAUUAUCAUUUCUAAUUCUAUAAUUACGGGUCUUACCAUACAUUCAAUGUCUUCUCCCACGAGAAUGUGAUGAGUAACUUAAAUAAAUUAAGGUUGAAACGAUUAUUGCUCGAUUUUUUUCUAGUUGCACCCCAAAGUGACUAAAACAUCCUUAAUUCAUUUUUUGAAAUUUUCAAUCAUUUCCAUUUAUCUUACACGUUUUACGAUUAAAAUGUUGCAUUACAUCAAAAUAAGAGUACAUAUCAUGUACAAAUUGCUAAUUUUAGCAUUAGCAUGUUGCAUUAUAUCAAAAUAAGAAAUAUAUCAUGCAUAAGUAAGAAACAUAUCAUGCUGAGUAUUGGGUUAUAUUGAGAUUGAGUUUCUUAUGUUGCAGUUCGGUUUGGUUCGGUUGUUCAAAUAAAAACAGCAAACCGAACCGCUCGGUUGAAUCCCCAUGAGGUUAUCUCAAUUAGCAUGGGCAUUUGCAUUAUGUAUGCAGAGGUCGGAGGUUCGAAUCUCAGACACCCGAUUUAUUCACCUGAAGUAGUGUGAAUUUUUAGCCGUUAGACUACUUGAAAAAAAAAAAAACGUUUUUUUAGAGGAUUUAAGUUUCUGAAUGUGUAGCCUAAUGGUAUAAUGGGUUAUGACACUGAAAUAGUAUGAAGAAUGAGGUUGGCGUUUAAUUUGCCCCGUAACAGACUAAAAUUUGUAUUUUUUUUGUUAAAAGAAAUUGGAAUGAUUUACAAUUAGUUCAUUAUUACACAAUACACAGGCGUUUGCUAUGGAGUGCUUGGCAAUAAUCUACCAUCAAAGCAAGAAGUUGUAGAUUUAUAUAAAUCAAAAGGCAUUGGCAAAAUGCGUAUAUACUACCCAGAUCAAGAAGUCCUACAAGCCCUUAGAGGUUCUAACAUUGAAUUGAUCCUUGGUGUGACCAAGGAAACCCUUUCCUCUCUUACAGAUGCCGGUGAAGCUACAAAUUGGGUCCAAAAGUAUGUGACACCCUAUGCUCAAGAUGUAAAAAUCAAGUACAUCACUGUUGGAAAUGAAAUUAAACCUAAUGACAAUGAAGCCCAAUACAUUGCCACUGCCAUGCAGAACAUUCAAAAUGCAAUUUCAUCUGCAAAUUUACAAGGCCAAAUCAAGGUCUCAACAGCAAUUGACAUGACUUUGAUUGGUAAUUCAUAUCCACCCAAUGCUGGAGUU
rnacentral:lncRNA from 1 species